rnacentral:tRNA from 1 species
AGGAGUGUAUUUAAUUAUAAUAAUUGAAUUGCAAUCAAUAGGUGUUUUUUAACUACUCUUA